rnacentral:rRNA from 1 species
UACGUAGGGUGCAAGCGUUACUCGGAAUUACUGGGCGUAAAGCGUGCGCAGGCGGUUAUAUAAGACAGAUGUGAAAUCCCCGGGCUCAACCCGGGAACUGCGUCCGAGACUGGCAUGCUUGAAUCCGGGAGAGGGAUGUGGAAUUCCAGGUGUAGCGGUGAAAUGCGUAGAUAUCUGGAGGAACAUCGGUGGCGAAGGCGGCAUCCUGGACCGGUAUUGACGCUGAGGCGCGAAAGCCAGGGAAGCAAACGGG